GAUGAAGAACGCAGCGAAAUGCGAUAAGUAAUGUGAAUUGCAGAAUUCAGUGAAUCAUCGAAUCUUUGAACGCAUCUUGCGCUCCUUGGUAUUCUGAGGAGCAUGCCUGUUUGAGUGUCAUUAAAUUCUAAACUACACUGACUUUGAAUUGGUGUGGCUUGGAUUUGGGGGGAAAAUUGUUGUGGGCUUUUUGUAUAGUCUGCUCCCCUGAAAUUGAUUAGCGGUACCUUUGUGGAACUGUCUACAGGUGUGAUAAUUAUCUACAUCUUAGACAUCUGCUGGAAUGCUGCUCUCUAAACCUUACUUGUAUUGACAAUCUUGACCUCAAAUCAGGUAGGACUACCCGCUGAACUUAAGCAUAUCAAUAAGCGGAGGA
rnacentral:misc_RNA from 1 species